GACGAACGCUGGCGGCGUGCUUAACACAUGCAAGUCGAACGGAAAGGCCCUGCUUUUGUGGGGUGCUCGAGUGGCGAACGGGUGAGUAACACGUGAGUAACCUGCCCUUGACUUUGGGAUAACUUCAGGAAACUGGGGCUAAUACCGGAUAGGAGCUCCUGCUGCAUGGUGGGGGUUGGAAAGUUUCGGCGGUUGGGGAUGGACUGGCGGCUUAUCAGCUUGUUGGUGGGGUAGGGGCUUACCAAGGCUUUGACGGGUAGCCGGCCUGAGAGGGUGGCCGGCCACAUUGGGACUGAGAUACGGCCCAGACUCCUACGGGAGGCAGCAGUGGGGAAUAUUGCACAAUGGGCGGAAGCCUGAUGCAGCAACGCCGCGUGCGGGAUGACGGCCUUCGGGUUGUAAACCGCUUUCGCCUGUGACGAAGCGUGAGUGACGGUAAUGGGUAAAGAAGCACCGGCUAACUACGUG
rnacentral:rRNA from 1 species